rnacentral:rRNA from 1 species
UACGGGGGGAGCAAGCGUUGUUCGGAUUUACUGGGCGUAAAGGGCGCGUAGGCGGCCGAUCAAGUCAGGCGUGAAAGCCCCGGGCUCAACCUGGGAAUGGCGCUUGGGACUGGUUGGCUUGAGUUCGGGAGAGGAGAGUGGAAUUCCCAGUGUAGAGGUGAAAUUCGUAGAUAUUGGGAAGAACACCGGUGGCGAAGGCGGCUUCCUGGACCGACACUGACGCUGAGGCGCGAAAGCUAGGGGAGCAAACGGG